UACGUAGGGUGCGAGCGUUAAUCGGAAUUACUGGGCGUAAAGCGUGCGCAGGCGGUUCUCCAAGUCCGUUGUGAAAGCCCCGGGCUCAACCUGGGAAUGGCAGUGGAAACUAGGGGACUUGAAUCUGGCAGAGGGGGGUGGAAUUCCACGUGUAGCAGUGAAAUGCGUAGAGUAUGUGGAGGAACACCGAUGAGCGAAGGCAGCCCUCGGC
rnacentral:rRNA from 1 species